GCAAACUUGGUCAUUUAGAGGAAGUAAAAGUCGUAACAAGGUUUCCGUAGGUGAACCUGCGGAAGGAUCAUUAAUGAAUAUAAAUGUAGCUUCUCUACUUAUUCUUUCUCUAUGUGGGGGAGAAUUUGGAGGGGGCGAAUGUUAUAUACAUAAUAUAUAUAACACUGCAGGGGGGAGGGUAAAGAGGAGGAGAGAGAGAGAGAAUAUCUCUUUCUCUCUCUUUCUCUAUAAACUCCCCCAAAGGUGUAAACCACACUAAAAUCCUAAAUCCUAUUAUAUGGUAGCCAAAAUUUUUGGAAAAUUACACACUAUAUAAAAGAUACAACUUUUAACAAUGGAUCUCUUGGCUCUUGCAUCGAUGAAGAACGCAGC
rnacentral:misc_RNA from 1 species